CAGGCCUAACACAUGCAAGUCGAUGGCCCGUUCCUUCGGGGAUGGUUAGCGGCGGACGGGUGAGUAACACGUAGGCAACCUGCCUGUAAGAUCGGGAUAACUACCGGAAACGGUAGCUAAGACCGGAUAGCUGGUUUCUCCGCAUGGGGGAAUCAUGAAACACGGGGCAACCUGUGGCUUACGGAUGGGCCUGCGGCGCAUUAGCUAGUUGGUGGGGUAACGGCCCACCAAGGCGACGAUGCGUAGCCGACCUGAGAGGGUGAUCGGCCACACUGGGACUGAGACACGGCCCAGACUCCUACGGGAGGCAGCAGUAGGGAAUCUUCCGCAAUGGGCGCAAGCCUGACGGAGCAACGCCGCGUGAGUGAUGAAGGUUUUCGGAUCGUAAAGCUCUGUUGCCAAGGAGGAACGCCUCGGAGAGUAACUGCUCUGAGGGUGACGGUACUUGAGAAGAAAGCCCCGGCUAACUACGUGCCAGCAGCCGCGGUAAUACGUAGGGGGCAAGCGUUGUCCGGAAUUAUUGGGCGUAAAGCGCGCGCAGGCGGUCUUUUAAGUUUGGUGUUUAAGCCCGGGGCUCAACCCCGGUUCGCACUGAAAACUGGGAGACUUGAGUGCAGGAGAGGAAAGCGGAAUUCCACGUGUAGCGGUGAAAUGCGUAGAGAUGUGGAGGAACACCAGUGGCGAAGGCGGCUUUCUGGACUGUAACUGACGCUGAGGCGCGAAAGCGUGGGGAGCAAACAGGAUUAGAUA
rnacentral:rRNA from 1 species